AUGCUGAAAGCACCGGUUCUCAUUCGAUCACCUAAGUUAGGCAUCAUCGAGUGUAGUCAGUACUUGGGAGGGUGACCACCUAUGAGGA